rnacentral:rRNA from 1 species
AUUGAACGCUGGCGGCAGGCCUAACACAUGCAAGUCGAGCGAGCGGCGGACGGGUGAGUAAUGUCUGGGAAACUGCCCGAUGGAGGGGGAUAACUACUGGAAACGGUGGCUAAUACCGCAUACCAUCAGAUGUGCCCAGAUGGGAUUAGCUGGUAGGUGGGGUAAUGGCUCACCUAGGCGACGAUCCCUAGCUGGUCUGAGAGGAUGACCAGCCACACUGGAACGGAGACACGGCCCAGACUCCUACGGGAGGCAGCAGUGGGGAAUAUUGCACAAUGGGCGCAAGCCUGAUGCAGCCAUGCCGCGUGUGUGAAGAAGGCCGUCGGGUUGUAAAGCACUUUCAGCCGGGAGGCGUUACUCACAGAAGAAGCACCGGCUAACUCCGUGCCAGCAGCCGCGGUAAUUC